CCGACAAGGACCAGUGCCACUACUCGUCGCUGGUGUCCGCCGAGCUCUGCGCCUUCUGCGAGGAUUGGAAGCAGGCGCUCGAGCGGCUGCCGGACGCGGUGGCCGGCGAGGCGAUCAAGAGCUUCGCGUGCGUGGUGCGCACCAUCUACCUGAAGCAGAGCGAGGAGGUGAAGAUCCGGAAGCGCGCGGAGGGCUUCUCCAAGGAGCUGGAGAAGAAGAGCCUCUCCCUGCGGGGGAUCGAGAAGAAGUACUACCAGUCCUACUCCAUGGUCGGCAUCGGCCUCCCCCUCGACGCCGCGGUGGACGGCAGGGGCGACCCGCUGGCGGAGAAGCGGGCGGAGAUCGCGGCGUGCCGGCGGCGGGUGGAGGAGGAGACGGCCCGGCACGUGAACGCCGUGAAGG
rnacentral:lncRNA from 1 species